rnacentral:rRNA from 1 species
CCUUUGCAAACUCCGAAUACCAGUGAGUGAUAUCCGGGAGACACACUUAGGGUGCUAACGUCCUAAGUGAAGAGGGAAACAACCCAGACCGCCAGCUAAGGUCCCAAAGUACUAGUUAAGUGGGAAACGAUGUGGAAAGGCAUAGACAGCUAGGAGGUUGGCUUAGAAGCAGCCAUCCUUUAAAGAAAGCGUAAUAGCUCACUAGUCGAGUCGGUCUGCGCGGAAGAUGUAACGGGGCUAAACUAGUCACCGAAGCUGCGGAUUCAAACUAUGUUUGAGUGGUAGGGGAGCGUUCUGUAAGCCGUUGAAGGUGUGUUGUAAGGCAUGCUGGAGGUAUCAGAAGUGCGAAUGCUGACAUGAGUAACGAUAAUGGGGGUGAAAAACCCCCACGCCGAAAGACCAAGGUUUCCUGUCCCAUGCUAAUCAGGGCAGGGUAAGUCGGCCCCUAAGGCGAGACCGAAAGGUGUAGUCGAUGGGAAACAGAUUAAUAUUUCUGUACUUCUAUAUAUUUCGAAGGAGGGACGGAGCAGGCUAGGUGAGCAUGGCGUUGGUUGUCCAUGUGAAAGUGCGUAGGCUGGGAAUUUAGGCAAAUCCGGAUUCCUAAGGCUGAGACACGAGACGAUACUCCACGGAGUAGAAGUCAUUGAUGCCAUACUUCCAGGAAAAGCUUCUAAGGUUAGAUAUAUAGGAACCGUACCCCAAACCGACACAGGUGGUUAGGUAGAGAAUACUAAGGCGCUUGAGAGAACUCGGGUGAAGGAACUAGGCAAAAUAGUACCGUAACUUCGGGAGAAGGUACGCCGGUUUUGGUGAUGGGACUUGCUCCCUAAGCUGAGACUGGUCGAAGUAACCAGGUGGCUGGAACUGUUUAUUAAAAACACAGCACUGUGCUAAAUCGUAAGAUGACGUAUACAGUGUGACGCCUGCCCGGUGCCGGAAGGUUAAUUGAUUGGGUUAGCUCUGCGAAGCUCAUGAUCGAAGCCCCGGUAAACGGCGGCCGUAACUAUAACGGUCCUAAGGUAGCGAAAUUCCUUGUCGGGUAAGUUCCGACCUGCACGAAUGGCGUAAUCAUGGCCACACUGUCUCCACCCGAGACUCAGUGAAAUUGAAAUUGCGGUUAAGAUGCCGUAUACCCGCGGCUAGACGGAAAGACCCCGUGAACCUUUACUAUAGCUUGACAGUGAACAUUGCUCCUACAUGUGUAGGAUAGGUGGGAGGCUUUGAAGUAUGCACGCCAGUGUGUAUGGAGCCAACCUUGAAAUACCACCCUUGUAUGCGUGAUGUUCUAACCUGGUCCCGUAAUCCGGGAUGGGGACACUGUCUGGUGGGUAGUUUGACUGGGGCGGUCUCCUCCCAAAGAGUAACGGAGGAGCACGAAGGUUGGCUAAGUAUGGUCGGACAUCAUACGGUUAGUGCAAUGGCAUAAGCCAGCUUAACUGCGAGACAGACACGUCGAGCAGGUACGAAAGUAGGUCAUAGUGAUCCGGUGGUUCUGUAUGGAAGGGCCAUCGCUCAACGGAUAAAAGGUACUCCGGGGAUAACAG